rnacentral:rRNA from 1 species
UACAGAGGGGGGCAAGCGUUGUUCGGAAUUACUGGGCGUAAAGGGCGCGUAGGCGGCCUGCUAAGUCGAACGUGAAAAUCCCCUCGGCUCAACCGGGGAACUGCGUCUGAGACUGGAAGGCUUGAAUCCGGGAGAGGGAUGUGGAAUUCCAGGUGUAGCGGUGAAAAUGCGUAGAUAUCUGGAGGAACACCGGUGGCGAAGGCGGGGUCUCUGGGCCGUAACUGACGCUGAGGAGCGAAAGCAUGGGGAGCGAACAGG